rnacentral:rRNA from 1 species
CGGCGGACGGGUGAGUAAUGCCUAGGAAUCUGCCUGGUAGUGGGGGACAACGUUUCGAAAGUAACGCUAAUACCGCAUACGUCCUACGGGAGAAAGCAGGGGACCUUCGGGCCUUGCGCUAUCAGAUGAGCCUAGGUCGGAUUAGCUAGUUGGUGAGGUAAUGGCUCACCAAGGCGACGAUCCGUAACUGGUCUGAGAGGAUGAUCAGUCACACUGGAACUGAGACACGGUCCAGACUCCUACGGGAGGCAGCAGUU